AAUGAACGCUGGCGGCAUGCCUUACACAUGCAAGUCGAACGGCAGCAUGACCUAGCUUGCUAGGUUGAUGGCGAGUGGCGAACGGGUGAGUAAUGCAUCGGAACGUGCCUUUUAGUGGGGGAUAACGUAGCGAAAGUUACGCUAAUACCGCAUAUUCUCUGAGGAGGAAAGCAGGGGACCUUCGGGCCUUGCGCUAGAAGAGCGGCCGAUGUCGGAUUAGCUAGUUGGUGAGGUAAAGGCUCACCAAGGCAACGAUCCGUAGCGGGUCUGAGAGGAUGAUCCGCCACACUGGGACUGAGACACGGCCCAGACUCCUACGGGAGGCAGCAGUGGGGAAUUUUGGACAAUGGGCGCAAGUCUGAUCCAGCCAUGCCGCGUGAGUGAAGAAGGCCUUCGGGUUGUAAAGCUCUUUCGGCUGGGAAGAAAUCGCACCCUCUAAUACAGGGUGUGGAUGACGGUACCAGCAUAAGAAGCACCGGCUAACUACGUG
rnacentral:rRNA from 1 species